AUUGAACGCUGGCGGCAGGCCUAACACAUGCAAGUCGAACGCUUGGCGGACGGGUGAGUAAUGUCUGGGAAACUGCCUGAUGGAUGGGGAUAACUACUGGAACCGGUAGCUAAUCCCGCAUACCAUCAGAUGUUCCCAGAUGGGCUUAGCUGGUUGGUAGGGUAACGGCUCACCAAUGCGACGAUCCCUAGCUGGUCUGAGAGGAUGACCAGCCACACUGGAACUGAGACACGGUCCAGACUCCUACGGGAGGCAGCAGUGGGGAAUAUUGCACAAUGGGCGAAAGCCUGAUGCAGCAAUGCCGCGUGUAUGAAGAAGGCCUUCGGGUUGUAAAGUACUUUCAGCGGGGAGGCGUUACCCGCAGAAGAAGCACCGGCUAACUCCGUGCCAGCAGCCGCGGUAAUAC
rnacentral:rRNA from 1 species